rnacentral:snRNA from 1 species
AGCUCUGCUCAGUGGCAGUAUCGUAGUCCAUGAGGUUUAUCCAAGGCACGAUUAUUGCUAAUUGAAAACUUUUCCCAAUACCCCUCCAUGACGACUUGAAAUAUAGUCGGCAUUGGUAAUUUUUGACAGUCUCUAUGGAGA